UUAGCAUAUUAAUCGCCUCCAUUUUUAGCGUGCAGCCAUGAUAAGAGGAAGCCAGUGACGGAUUCACCAGCUUUUCUGAAAAUCAGGUCAUAAGAAAUGAAACAGACGCUGUUUUCACAAGGUAAUAUUGUUCCUCAUCUCACUCUGUUUACUUUUAGUUAUCUUUCUUUCUUUGGAUGGCAUGCAUUUUGGCCAAAACACUUUUUUUUUUUUCCAAGUGGUUGUAGGCUGCUAACACUAUCGAAAAGGAAAUUUAAUAAUAAAUAUAUUGGUAUUUUUAAUUAUCACAUUGAAAUUUUCAUUUUCCUUUGAGAUUUUAGCUAAAAGUCAGUGAUAAAUAUGAUGAAAAAACAAAGGGUGGUUCUGAAAAAUCAUGUGAUUUCAUUUUCCUGUAUGUCUUGGGUUCUUUUUUGACUGUGCGAUAGUUUUUCUUAGAGGCAUUUACAGAGGGACGUAAGGACCCUCACCAAAUAGGGCUAAUUUGAAGAAGGACACAGCUGGCUUAGUAGAAAGAAGGCAGAAGAAUUGUCUCCUGGUAGUCAAGACUCUGAAAAUAAGACUUAGGAUAAAAGAUUGGAUACAUGCGAGAAUAGAGUUCUUAAAGAUCACCAGCUGAAGUUUGUGAUUUUUCAUUCUUCUCUGCCCUAAGACAGCCAUAUUUUACCAUUUGGAGCAUAAAUAAAAAUGACUUCCAGGCUUAUUUGAUUACAGACUGAAUUACUCUAUCACAGGAUGACAAGAAAUGACAGAUAGGUUUCGCAUAAUGAAAAAGUCUGUGAGACUCUAUAUUUCCUGUUAAAGAUGAUAUGAGGAAACCAGGCAGAUUUUUCUUUCAUUCAUACUCUUUCAUAUGUGCGCAAUAGUACUGUCAAUCUCUAUGAUAUCAUUAGGUUACCUGGAAGGUCUUACAUUUGGCAGGAGAAUGUAAGUUUUAGGGUAAUUUUUCUGAGUAGCAACCCAAGGCCAAUGUAGUAAAUUUUGAAAGAUCAAUUACAUUACAGAAAAGGGCUGCAUAACAUAAAUGUGUUCUGCCCACUUGUCAACAUGGGUAAAGACAUUAAUAUCGUAAUAAGUGCAAUGACAGAAUUUCAUUUUCAGUCUUUAGACUUCCUAACAGUAGCAGUGUCAAGGCAUCAAACCUGUGAGUUUUGCUUCUUUAAUAGUUUCUAUAAAACUUGACAGCCUUUCUGUACAUUGCAAAUACUCUAAAACCACCUUGACUUUAUACAUUAGCUAAAUUGCCUGGGAACUUUUUCUAGAUACAACUAAUUCCUGAAGGUAGAGAAGACAGUGUGAGGAUUGCAAGACCACGGAUGCAGUUCUUCGAGAAAACGAGUGUGCAAGAAGUAUGUUGUAACUGAAGUGGCGUACUGCCUGCCACCCAAGAGGUUGCUCUGUAAGUGAAAUGUGUCUCCAUUUCUCUGGAAAAAAAUUCCCAAGGGGACAACUGCUGAGUCAAAUGGUAAGUGAAUGUCUACUUUAAAAGUGUUAUAUUGUUUUUUAGAGUGGGUAUACCAUUUUACAUUACCAUCAGCAAUGUAUAAGAGAUCCUGUGGCUCGGUAUCAGGCAACAGAUAAUGUAUGUGCCAUGUGUAAGUUUCUAGAACAUGAAAGUAUAGGAAUCUUUUGUUUUAUUAUGUUAGCAUACGCUUUACAUCCAAACCUAGCUGUGUGGUGAAAAAGUGAUUCUCUGGAAUUUAAGAAACUUAAACCCCUGAUUUAUAGCAACUGCCUAUUUGCCAGAUGUGGCUAUUCCCACCAUGGUUUUCAAACUACCCACAUGAUUUAAUUGAAAGUGAAUUAUGGAAAAAAAUACUCACAACUGAUUCUCACACAGUUCUCACUGGCACAAACCAGUUCCAGCACACUGCUGCGCAUACACAAACAUAUGCACACAUGCAUUUACACAUAUAUACACACAUGCAUAUUCACACACACAUACAAACACAGAUGCAUAGAGACACCAGAUUUAUCUCCUUCAUGCAUAUAGAUGGACAAUAAGAUGACAAGAUGAAUUUAAUAACAUGACAUAAUCAAAUGUAGAGACAGAUAUAAAAUAAGUAGAGUAUGAAACUAUGAAACAAUUUUGGAAAUAAAAGUGUAUAGUAAU